GAGGCACUUCAGUAACUUGUCAAAAUUGUGACAAGUUGUUAUCGAAAUUCAGGGGAUCUCUGGGAUCCAGAGAACUGGAGAGCUGGCGAGCCAGAGAAGGGGGAGAGAUUUACCCUGUUUGAUGACAGUUUUCCAUGGAAAUCCAUCAGCGUGGAAGUGUGAAGUGCCGGCCAGGGAUUUUAAUUGCAAAGUUAGGAACAACACGCGGCUUAGCAGCAACUUUUCAGUCAAUGCGAUUAGCAGAUGGGACACCGAAAAUUCCGGCAAACUUUAUUUUCCGACUACCAAAAGAGCAUUAACAUUUUUGGAUAUAUUUGGAUUGUAUUUGUGCCUGGGGGACAAAGGCGAACCUGUUCUAAUCUGAUGCAGCUCGGUUGCACUUGAGAGGAUUUGCCGUUGCUGCUGCAGACAAAAGCCCAUUAAGGGAUAAGGGAUUGUCCGGCGGACAAUCGCGUCCUAGUCGCGGUUUCUGUUUGUCCAGACCGCAAAAACUAGUCCCGGAUCAGGACGAGAGUGUGAGUGUGGGUUAUUGUAAUGCCAUUAGUGCCUUAGCGUGACGGACACUUUUGCGUGGGCCGCGAUUAUCGAUCAAAGCCGCAAAAUUCCAACAGGUAGAACCUGAGCCCGUGCCCAUUUUCCAGCACACUCUGAGGUAUAAUUACGGCGAACCAGGGCACGUGAUUAGGACCCACGAAUGGAGUUGGCCCAGAAAUCCAGGCCAAGCGUUUCGACCGCACACACAACCGCAAAAGAGGAAAGAAUCUCGGUGAAUUCCCAGGAAAGCUGGUAACAUAAACAAAAAUCUCGCACAAACAAAGUGAAAGAUAAAGUCAUAAAUAAAAUCGGACUCUCUGCCUGGAACCCUGCUCUUUUCCCCCAAACCGAAGUUUGAGUUAACUCGGCCGCAUCCCUUGGCCAAUUCAUUGUGAAAGUGGGCCUCGACCACUGUGUAAGUAGUUGACACUCGAAUAGCAUCACGCGCAUCCUUUUCCGAGUGAAAUGGACCCGAAAGGCCUGCGACUUUAGAGCGCAGGAAACAUUUGAUUAUUUUUACGGCUUCUCGGAUUCCGAGCCCGCAAUUACAGGAAAUAAUUCGGCCAAGUGAGCGGGGUUAAAAUUAAGAAAUGCCCGCCGUCGAUAGGUCAGCCUAGAUAAGGCCCAAAGUGAAAAGAUACACAGCAGCCGGGGAAACUGGGGAGGCCGAGAUGUCCAGAGAUUGCAGACUAGGUCACGUAAGCCCAUCUAGAUAUACAUUUAUAUACACAUGUAUGGGUUGGUAGGUAGGUGGGUAUGGAAGUGCGGACGUCCAAGCGUGAAUGUCACGUAGCCAUUGGCAGGGUAAAUAAAUAAACCUACCGGGACACUGGACAUUCACACGACAAGUCCGCGGAAAAGACCCAAAUAUAUAUCAGUAUAUAUCAGUGAUAAUUUAUGUGCGUGCUGACAUGCGGGACCCUUGCCCCCAAUGCCAACAUCGAUCUUGCCUCCACUGCAGCAGUAGCUUGUACGCUUUGUUAACAAUUUAAUGGCAUAAACAUUAUGAUUUCUGUUAUUUCAAUUCGGACCCGAAUCUGAAUCCGAAUACGAGCCCAGAGUCCAGAGACAUCUUAUCAGAAAGCGGGGCUCUGUGCCAACGUGAAUGCGAUGCUGGCCACCAGAUAAACCGUGUGCAUUUGACGAUGAGGCCCAGUCCAGCCUCCAAUGUAUAUACCUUCGAGUAUUUAUUCGACUGCGGGAAUUAUUAUGCGUAACAUGUUCGGUUUGUUGGCUCUUUCGUCCGUCGCCAUAGUUGGCCCCCAGCAGGCGGUCAAAAAUGUUAACAAGCGCAAUUUGAACGCCUGGGAUCGCAAUAUCGGAGUUUUGGAGUAUACCGGAAUACCGGUUGAGCAUCCGCAUGUGUGUGCAAUUGAUUUUUGAUGGCCGAUAAAUAUAGUUAUGAAUACUUAACUCGUCGCCCAGCACCGCACUUUGUCGAAGGACAAAGGUACAUGUGCCUGGCACCGCUAGAAAUGAAAUGAUUUUCGCCAGGGCCCUGGAACAAUAACAAUUACGGCGAUGGCAAGCCUGCCCUGCAAAAGUCGUUUAUCUGAUGAGUUUUUAAUUAAUUUUCACCCAUUGACUUGCCAGCGGAGUGCCAUCGAUAAGGGCGGCUAUUGAAGAGUUUUGGCAUUGGACAAUAUCACAUCCACUCACGAUUUAUCAAAAAUCUCUUCUCGCUUCUUUUAUCUGACCUCGAGGACUUUAAGGCACUACACUUCAAUUAAAGCUUGAUAUAUAUUAUAAAUGG